AUUGAACGCUGGCGGCAUGCCUUACACAUGCAAGUCGAACGGUAACAGGUCUUCGGAUGCUGACGAGUGGCGAACGGGUGAGUAAUACAUCGGAACGUGCCCAGACGUGGGGGAUAACGAGGCGAAAGCUUUGCUAAUACCGCAUACGAUCUAAGGAUGAAAGCAGGGGACCGCAAGGCCUUGCGCGUUUGGAGCGGCCGAUGGCAGAUUAGGUAGUUGGUGGGAUAAAAGCUUACCAAGCCGACGAUCUGUAGCUGGUCUGAGAGGACGACCAGCCACACUGGGACUGAGACACAGCCCAGACUCCUACGGGAGGCAGCAGUGGGGAAUUUUGGACAAUGGGCGAAAGCCUGAUCCAGCAAUGCCGCGUGCAGGAUGAAGGCCUUCGGGUUGUAAACUGCUUUUGUACGGAACGAAAAGGCUCUGGCUAAUACCUGGGGCACAUGACGGUACCGGAAGAAUAAGCACCGGCUAACUACGUG
rnacentral:rRNA from 1 species